rnacentral:rRNA from 1 species
UACGUAGGGUGCAAGCGUUAAUCGGAAUUACUGGGCGUAAAGCGUGCGCAGGCGGCUUUGUAAGACAGAUGUGAAAUCCCCGGGCUCAACCUGGGAACUGCAUUUGUGACUGCAUGGCUGGAGUGCGGCAGAGGGGGAUGGAAUUCCGCGUGUAGCAGUGAAAUGCGUAGAUAUGCGGAGGAACACCGAUGGCGAAGGCAAUCCCCUGGGCCUGCACUGACGCUCAUGCACGAAAGCGUGGGGAGCAAGACGG